rnacentral:rRNA from 1 species
AAAAAAAAGAUUCAAGAGAACGUGAAAUCGCUGGAGUGGAACCGGAGAGAGUUGACGUAGUCGGCUAACUAAGUUUGCCAAAGUCGCUUAAUUGUGGCAGCGGCAGAUGUAUGUUGCCUAUGGCUGCGCUGACAGCGCUGGCUAUGCGUUCCGAACCGUUUGCGUUGCCCACUUCGGUGGUGUCUUGUCUGCGGGUAGGUUUGUCGUAGCUAGUGUUUUAUCCUGCUUGCAGGGUGUCAGUGUGAAAGUCGACCACCUCUCCGACCCGUCUUGAAACACGGACCGAGGAGUGUAACUUGUACGCGAGUCAAAGGGUGGAAAACCCCAAGGCGAAAUGAAAGUAAAGGUCGGUUAACUGGCUGACAUGGGAUUCGCCUUUUGAGGUGACGCACCAUGGCCCUGUCUCGUCUGCUUGCAGAUGGGCAGCGGUAGAGCGUACAGGUUGCGACCCGAAAGAUGGUGAACUAUGCCUGAGCAGGACGAAGUCAGAGGAAACUCUGAUGGAAGUCCGUAUCGGUUCUGACGUGCAAAUCGAUCGAUAGACUUGGGUAUAGGGGCGAAAGACUAAUCGAACCAUCUAGUAGCUGGUUCCUUUCCGAAAAA